UGCCAGCAGCCGCGGUAAUACGGAGGGGGCGAGCGUUAUUCGGAAUUAUUGGGCGUAAAGGGCGCGUAGGUGGCCUGAAAAGUCAGUGGUGAAAUCCCUCGGCUCAACCGAGGAACUGCCUCUGAAACUGUCGGGCUCGAGGCCGGGAGAGGGUAGUGGAAUUCCCAGUGUAGCGGUGAAAUGCGUAGAUAUUGGGAAGAACACCUGUGGCGAAGGCGGCUACCUGGACCGGUUCUGACACUGAGGCGCGAAAGCGUGGGGAGCAAACAGGAUUAGAUA
rnacentral:rRNA from 1 species